GUAGGGUCCGAGCGUUAUCCGGAAUCAUUGGGCGUAAAGAGCUCGUAGGCGGUUCAGCAAGUCGGCUGUGAAAGUUCGAGGCUCAACCUCGAAAUUGCAGUCGAUACUGCUGUGACUCGAGUCCGGUAGAGGAGAAUGGAAUUCCCGGUGUAGCGGUGAAAUGCGCAGAUAUCGGGAGGAACACCAGUAGCGAAGGCGGUUCUCUGGGCCGGCACUGACGCUGAGGAGCGAAAGCGUGGGGGGAGCAAACAGGAUUAGAUACCCUGGUAGUCCACGCCCGUAAACGUUGGAUGCUAGGUGUGGCGGUCUACCAACGACUGCCGUGCCGAAGCUAACGCAUUAAGCAUCCCCGCCUGGGGAGUACGGCCGCAAGGCUA
rnacentral:rRNA from 1 species